UUUUUGAUUAUAAUUUAAGGUCUAACCUGCCCAAUGAUUGAUUGAAUGGCCGCAGUAUCUUGACUGUGCAAAGGUAGCAUAAUCAUUAGUUUUUUAAAUGAAAGCUUGUAUGAAAGGUUUAAUGAAAAAAAUACUGUCUCUAUUUAAAUAUAUUAGAAUUUUAUUUUUAAGUGAAAAAGCUUAAAUAUUUAUUGAAGACGAGAAGACCCUAUAGAAUUUUAUAUUUUUGUUAUAUUUACUUAAUUUAGAAUUUUGGAAAUAUAUAUAAUAAAAAUAUUUGAUUGGGGUGAUAGAAAAAUUUACUUAACUUUUUUUUUAUUGAUACAUAAAUUAAUGAAUACUUGAUCCUUUAAAUUUAAAGAUAAAAAGAAGAAAUUACCUUAGGGAUAACAGCGUAAUUUUUUUUAGAGUUYUUAUCGAAAAAAAAGAUUGCGACCUCGAUGUUGGAUUAAAAUAAAUUAUUGGUGUARAAGCUAGUAUUUUAGGUCUGUUCGACCUUUAAAUUUUUACA
rnacentral:rRNA from 1 species